AGAGUUUGAUCCUGGCUCAGGACGAACGCUGGCGGCGUGCUUAACACAUGCAAGUCGAACGGAGCGAUUUAUUUCGGUAAAUCGCUUAGUGGCAAACGGGUGAGUAACGCGUAGGCAACCUGCCCUCAGGAUGGGGACAACGGCUCGAAAGAGCCGCUAAUACCGAAUGACGUAACUCUUCCACAUGGAAGAGAUACUAAAGAUGGGUCAAACCAUCGCCUAAGGAUGGGCCUGCGUCUGAUUAGCCAGUUGGUGAGGUAACGGCUCACCAAAGCGACGAUCAGUAGCCGGUCUGAGAGGAUGAACGGCCACAAUGGGACUGAGACACGGCCCAUACUCCUACGGGAGGCAGCAGUGGGGAAUCUUCCGCAAUGGGCGAAAGCCUGACGGAGCAACGCCGCGUGAGUGAAGAAGGUCUUCGGAUCGUAAAGCUCUGUUGUCGGGGACGAAAGGAAAGGGGAGGCAAUGCCCUUUUCAAGACGGUACCCGACGAGGAAGCCACGGCUAACUACGUGCCAGCAGCCGCGGUAAUACGUAGGCGGCAAGCGUUGUCCGGAAUUAUUGGGCGUAAAGGGAGCGCAGGUGGGACGGUAAGUCCGUCUUAAAAGGCAGGGGCUCAGCCCCUGUAAGGGAUGGAAACUAUCGAUCUUGAGUGCCGGAGAGGAAAGCGGAAUUCCCAGUGUAGCGGUGAAAUGCGUAGAUAUUGGGAAGAACACCAGUGGCGAAGGCGGCUUUCUGGACUGCAACUGACGCUGAGGCUCGAAAGCCAGGGGAGCGAACGGGAUUAGAUACCCCGGUAGUCCUGGCCGUAAACG
rnacentral:rRNA from 1 species